AGCAUGUUAGCUCAGGGGAAGAGCGCCGGGCUCAUAACCCGGAGGUAAGCUUAUCCUUGUCCAUCUCAUCAACUUUAGUCAUCUAACGCAUAAUAGGUCCCUGGAUCGAAACCAGGACAUGCUA
rnacentral:tRNA from 1 species